CGAUUCGUCAUUCAAAAAUUAAUGAAGAACGUGAUCGAAGCCAGGAUUUUAAAUGGCAAGUUCAGAGGUGAAAAUAUACUCAUACCACGGAUUCCUAUUAUACCUACAGAUGUGCCAAUUCAAUUCAAACGUAUUCAGUUUCCGAUUAGAUUGGCAUUUGCAAUGACUAUCAACAAAUCCCAAG